CAGCCGCCGCGGUAACACCGGCGGCCCGAGUGGUGAUCGUGAUUAUUGGGUCUAAAGGGUCCGUAGCCGGUUUGGUCAGUCCUCCGGGAAAUCUGAUAGCUCAACUAUUAGGCUUUCGGGGGAUACUGCCAGACUUGGAACCGGGAGAGGUAAGAGGUACUACAGGGGUAGGAGUGAAAUCUUGUAAUCCCUGUGGGACCACCUGUGGCGAAGGCGUCUUACCAGAACGGGUUCGACGGUGAGGGACGAAAGCUGGGGGCACGAACCGGAUUAGAUACCCGGGUAGUCCCAGCCGUAAACGAUGCUCGCUAGGUGUCAGGCAUGGCGCGACCGUGUCUGGUGCCGCAGGGAAGCCGUGAAGCGAGCCACCUGGGAAGUACGGCCGCAAGGCUGAAACUUAAAGGAAUUGGCGGGGGAGCACAACAACGGGUGGAAGCCUGCGGUUUAAUUGGACUCAACGCCGGACAACUCACCGGGGGCGACAGCAAUAUGUAGGCCAAGCUGAAGACUUUGCCUGAAUCGCUGAGAAGAGGUGCAUGG
rnacentral:rRNA from 1 species